GUGUCAGCCGCCGCGGUAAUACGGAGGGUGCAAGCGUUAAUCGGAAUUACUGGGCGUAAAGCGUGCGUAGGCGGUUCGUUAAGUCAGAUGUGAAAGCCCCGGGCUUAACCUGGGAACUGCAUUUGAAACUGGCGGACUAGAGUUGAGUAGAGGGGAGUGGAAUUUCAGGUGUAGCGGUGAAAUGCGUAGAUAUCUGAAGGAACACCAGUGGCGAAGGCGACUCCCUGGACUCAAACUGACGCUGAGGUACGAAAGCGUGGGUAGCAAACAGGAUUAGAUACCCUGGUAGUCCACGCUGUAAACGAUGUCAACUAGCCGUUGGUUCUAUUUAUAGAAUUAGUGGCGCAGCUAACGCAUUAAGUUGACCGCCUGGGGAGUACGGCCGCAAGGUUAAA
rnacentral:rRNA from 1 species